rnacentral:tRNA from 1 species
GUUAAGGUGUCUGAUAAAAAGUAAUAAAUUGUAAGUUUAUUUAUGAGUAAAUUCUCUUAAUAA